rnacentral:lncRNA from 1 species
AACCUCAGAGAGCGACAAAUAAGAAGGAAGCUUGAAGACUAUGGGCCGAUAGACUUAGACACAAUAUUUGUCACAGACACAGCAGACCAAUGGGUAGUAGAAGAGGAGGAGCCAGUGUUGCACAAGAGAGCGUUCCUUGAGGCUAUCGGUGAUGAAGAUAUUGAAGAAAGUGAUGAGCAGCAUGAAAGAAGAAGCAGCCAGCCAAUG